rnacentral:pre_miRNA from 1 species
GUAAGAAAUCAGUUCGGUUUUAAGUGGACCCCAGUCGUCCCCCUCCUCCAGGGGUUUGCCUGGGCUUAAAACUGAAAUGGUUUGUUACAG